rnacentral:miRNA from 11 species
UCCUCACAGCGUGCAGCUGGAUACUGUAUGUAUGUAUGUGUGUGUGUGUGUGUGUGUGUAUGUGUGUGUAUAUAUAUACACACACACACACACACACACACAUACACACACAUACAC